rnacentral:rRNA from 1 species
CCAAUAGCGUAUAUUAAAGUUGCUGCAGUUAAAAAGCUCGUAGUUGAAUUUCGGGACCAGACUGUCGGUCGUGCCUCGGUACGUACUGGCAUCAUUGGUUUCUACCUUCUGAAGAACCGUGAUGUCAUUUAUUUGGUGUCGUGGGGAAUCAGGACUGUUACUUUGAAAAAAUUAGAGUGUUUAAAGCAGGCGCACGCUUGAAUACAUUAGCAUGGAAUAAUGAAAUAGGACGUUUGAUUCUAUUUUGUUGGUUUCUAGGAUCGACGUAAUGAUUAAUAGGGAUAGUUGGGGGCAUUAGUAUUCAAUUGUCAGAGGUGAAAUUCUUGGAUUUAUUGAAGACUAACUACUGCGAAAGCAUUUGCCAAGGAUGUUUUCAUUAAUCAAGAACGAAAGUUAGGGGAUCGAAGACGAUCAGAUACCGUCGUAGUCUUAACCAUAAACUAUGCCGACUAGGGAUCGGAUGAUGUUAAUUUUUUAAUGACUCAUUCGGCGCCUUACG